rnacentral:rRNA from 1 species
GACAGAGGUGCCGAGCGUUAGGCGGAAUCACUGGGCUUAAAGCGUGUGUAGGCGGAUCGUUAAGUACCUUGUGAAAUCCCACGGCUCAACCGUGGAACUGCUGGGUAUACUGGCGGUCUUGAGCCACCUAGGGGCGAGCGGAACAAGCGGUGGAGCGGUGAAAUGCGUAGAUAUCGCUUGGAACGCCGACGGUGAAAACAGCUCGCUGGGGGUGUGCUGACGCUGAGACACGAAAGCCAGGGGAGCGAACGGGG